rnacentral:rRNA from 1 species
UACGAAGGGUGCAAGCGUUACUCGGAAUUACUGGGCGUAAAGCGUACGUAGGCGGUUCGUUAAGUCCGUUGUGAAAGCCCUGGGCUCAACCUGGGAAUGGCAGUGGAUACUGGCGAGCUAGAGUGUGAUAGAGGAUGGUGGAAUUCCCCGGGUGUAGCGGUGAAAAUGCGUAGAGAUCGGGGAGGAACACCAGUGGCGAAAGGGCGG